ACUAUUUUGGCAGAAGGAGAGUGCAACAAAUUUAGAAUUUGUGAAUAUGAUGAUAAAUCGUAGGUAGUA
rnacentral:tRNA from 1 species